GCUUACGACACACCGGCCUGAGUACGCCUGAUCUCGUCUGAUCUCGGAAGCUAAGCAGGGUCGGGCCUGGUUAGUACUUGGAUGGGAGACUUCCUGGGAAUACCAGGUGCUGUAAGCU
ensembl:rRNA 5S_rRNA 5S ribosomal RNA